UUAGAUUGAUGAUUCUGAACCUAACCUCAUCAAUUAUUUGUUCAGUUUGGAAAAACUACUGUGUUGGUUUCUUGUAUUUGCCUUGAUCAAACAUAUCCUUCAGUCCAUAGGAUUUGGUUCAGGAGGUGUCAUUAGAGAGACUUUCGCAUCUAACUAUCAAAGAUUCAAUCAUAUCAGAAGAGGCUCAUGGUUUUCGAUGUGUCAAUGUUUGGGUUCUAAAUUAUUAUAUCAACUCAUUGUAUCGUACUUGAUAUCCUUUCUCGUUUUUGCAUAUACAGAACACGUUCUAAUAAUAAUCUCAUUAGUAUAUUUAAUUUAUUUCUGUUUCCUUGUAUUCCGAUAACUUCGGAAACGCGGUUAACCGUGGUUAUUAAAAAUAUUGAUUUGUCUAACGUAGGAUCAAAUGCACGUAAAUGUACAGUUUCAACCUGUAGCGAAUUUAGAUAGAUGUAAAACAUCUUUGUUUUGCAAUAAAAUGUUUAGCUAUGUGCAGUACCUUAACAUCACACAAAAAAUAUAUGAUUACACAAAUAGCUGUUUGAAAUUUAGACACAUUUUGUAUUUACAAGGAUCCCCUCUUUUUAAUGUAUAAAAAUGAGCUUAUGGAUAUGAUCUUAUUGGUGAAUAAGAUGCCUUUUCAUCCAUAAACUCUUUUCCUUUUUGAUUACAAAAGAGGUUCCUUGUGACUUCAAAUCACUUUUCCUGUCUGCAAUUCGCGUUGCUCUUCAUGCAGUUUUAGCGUCAUUAUGCUUUUAACAUUCUCCUUUUGUUUGAUAACAAGGGAGGGGUGACACAAAAUAUUUCCGUGAAAAAUAAUAUUUCAUCGGUCUGAUGUUUUUUUU